AAGAUACUCCUUCCGUUCCGAAUUACUUGUCACAGGUAUAAAUACAUCUAGAUGUAUUUUAGUUUUAGAUACAUUCAUUUCUGCGACGAGUAAUUUGAAACGGAGGGAGUACAUG
rfam:Triticum urartu cultivar G1812 contig530137, whole genome shotgun sequence.